rnacentral:misc_RNA from 1 species
UCCGGCUUGACGCCGGCAGUCCCCCGAGAGUCCCCGGCAUAACCCGCUGGCAACAUCGAACGAGGGUUGCGCUCGUUGCGGGACUUAACCCAACAUCUCACGACACGAGCUGACGACAGCCAUGCACCACCUGUGCAGGACCCUUACGGACCCCCCAUCUCUGGAGGAUUUCCCUGCAUGUCAAACCCAGGUAAGGUUCUUCGCGUCGCCUCGAAUUAAGCAACAUGCUCCGCCGCUUGUGCGGGCCCCCGUCUAUUCCUUUGAGUUUUAGCCUUGCGGCCGUACUCCCCAGGCGGGGCGCUUAAUGCGUUAGCUGCGGCACGGAGGACGUGGAAAGCCCCCCACACCUAGCGCCCAACGUUUACGGCAUGGACUAC